rnacentral:rRNA from 1 species
GACGAACGCUGGCGGCGUGCUUAACACAUGCAAGUCGAACGGAAAGGCCCCUUUGGGGGUCCUCGAGUGGCGAACGGGUGAGUAACACGUGAGUAACCUGCCCUUGACUUCGGGAUAACUUCAGGAAACUGGGGCUAAUACCGGAUAGGAAUCCUUGCUGCAUGGUGGGGGUUGGAAAGCUUCGGCGGUUUUGAAUGGACUCGCGGCUUAUCAGCUUGUUGGUGGGGUAGUGGCUUACCAAGGCUUUGACGGGUAGCCGGCCUGAGAGGGCGACCGGCCACAUUGGGACUGAGAUACGGCCCAGACUCCUACGGGAGGCAGCAGUGGGGAAUAUUGCACAAUGGGCGGAAGCCUGAUGCAGCAACGCCGCGUGCGGGAUGACGGCCUUCGGGUUGUAAACCGCUUUCAGCAGGGGCGAAGCUUGUGGUGACGGUACCUGCAGAAGAAGCACCGGCUAACUACGUG